rnacentral:tRNA from 1 species
GGUAAUAGCUCAGUGGCAGAGGACGUGCUUAGCAUGCUUGAGUCCUGGGUUCAAUCCCCAGUACUGCCA